GGUGCCACUGCUUGCCUCGAGCCUUUUUGCCACAUCGCUGUUCCCUGUUACUAACCCUGUCUGCCUGCCUUUUGUAGCACUUUUUGAAGUAACAUUGAAAUCCAAUUAGCCAAACAAAUAUUAAAGACACACAGGAUGUGUGAGGGUUUAAAAAAAAAAAAAAAAAAAAAAAUUGGGGUUGUAGUAAAGAUCCUCAAUUUAUUUUUAUUCACUUCCUUUCACUUACCUCACUUCCUUUAGUUCCUUUUCUCAUCACUGAUUGGCUCCCGCUUUCACCUUUCAUUUCUCCUGAUUGACUAGAUUGAGUUCACCUGUUCACACUAUUUAAGGACUGUACUCCCUUUCACUCACUCUUUCACUUCCACAUGGGGUGGCAGUUCUGAUUGAACAACUUGUGUCUCUUUUUCCUGAUUAUGUUGACCAAUGCAUCCUUUACAUUGGAAGAAAUAAAACGUUGUUCAGAGGACAUUCAAAGUUUCCUGGCUCAGUUCUACGCAUUCUGACCGAUGCGCCCAAUGACAAUACUGCUGAAGACAAAUCAGGAGAUGAUGCUGUACUACAGAGGUUUUGCUGUACCCAUUUAAAAAAUAAAAUUUCCCAUGCGCCACUGCAUGCAUCUGUCAGAUCAUUAAACAUUGGCUUCCAGUCUUCAGGCAUGUAACUCCGCAGUACACUAUUACUGGCUUACAUAUGACAUCUGCUGAAAGGAAUUUUAAUCACUGUUGAUCCGUCAGUGUUGUUGGACACAAAAUGGAAACGUCUGCUCAAUGGGCUAUACAGCCAGUGAGUUAAAGCGUUGCAGAUGUUGCUGCAGGGAUUGUUUGGAAACCGUUUGCAUUUGACACGGAGUUCAUCUCAGGCUCUGUUUGCAUUUAGGGUGAGUUGAAAAGUCCGGAAAAAAUGUCUGGUUGUCAACACAUUUGCUCAGGACCAUGUAGGUGCAGGGAAGAGGUGUGUGUGUGUGUGGUAUAUGUCCUUAUCAAUAUCUCUCUCCGCCAUUCACUUUCUAGCAGGCCUUUCCUUUCCAGGCCUUUCCUCCUUCCUAUGCCUCCCUCCAAUCCACCUCUCUGUCCUACUUUCUCCCAUGCGUGUGUCGUUUACAUUAUGUCCUCUACAGCUUCACAGACCAAAUUGAGUGCCCUUCAUAAUUUCAAUUUGCUCGCCAAGUGGCAGUCAUGCAGUGGGCUCAACAGCUUGGGAGGCCGCCGCAAAUCUCUCACUCGAGGUUUAUUUGCUGUAUGUCACUACACAUGAGCUGAGACACCGGGACAUAGGCAGAUGUGUAUUAUGGUGGGUGGCGGUGGAUGGACGCAAUAUGGAGCUUCCUCUAAUAAAACAUGUACAAUGGAAAACGCUCAUGGAUGCAUUUCAGUAGGAUGUCAGAGGCUUUAUGUUCUGAGAGAGCAGACAGAAAGACUUGAUGGCAUCCUGUACAGAAGAGGAAGCAGUGAGUGGGAAUACCUAGAGAGCCAUGAGACUGUCAAAGAGCUGUUUUGUGGUUGUUAGUUAGCAGGAUAUCUCUUAACCAUAGACACAUGUUUGUUUGUGUAGAAUUGGAUCUACUUAGGUGCAAGUCCAGAAAUAUGUUAAAAGAUUUAGACAGAACAUUUCCAACGAGGCAUUUUUACGAAUGGGGAAAAAAAGUAAUGUAUUAGAGCUACACAAAUAAAUCAGCCACUAUUAUACCAGAUGAUAUUAGCUUAUUGCAAAUAUUUGGGUAUCUGUUGACAUUUUGGCCGAGAAGUAACCUGAAAUAUCAGUAUAGAAAUACUUAAAAGAUGUGCAAGGUCAUUUAGAAACGGUGUGUCUAUAACAUAGCCUUACUGAUACUGGCGCUUUAAGGCAGAUGCUGAUGUUUGCGGGUUGAAAAUAAUCUGAUAACAAUAUAUAUCAGCUGAUAAAAUCAUUUCUUUUACACAUGACAAAACCAAACAAUCUUGAUGCGGAUCACUUAGAACUGUGUCUGUAAAGAGUGUGUCUGAGCGGGUCAUUUUACAAUAAACUUGUCACUCUCUGGUGCACAAAACUA